AACGAACGCUGGCGGCGCGCCUAAUACAUGCAAGUCGAGCGAGAAGACGUAGCAAUACGUUUGUAAAGCGGCGAACGGGUGAGGAAUACAUGGGUAACCUACCCUCGAGUGGGGAAUAACUAGCCGAAAGGUUAGCUAAUACCGCGUACGCUCCUUGGACUUCGGUUCAGGGAGGAAAGCGAUACCGUGGGUAUCGCGCUCUUGGAUGGGCUCAUGUCCUAUCAGCUUGUUGGUGAGGAACGGCUCACCAAGGCUUCGACGGGUAGCUGGUCUGAGAGGACGAUCAGCCACACUGGCACUGCGACACGGGCCAGACUCCUACGGGAGGCAGCAGUAAGGAAUAUUGCGCAAUGGGCGAAAGCCUGACG
rnacentral:rRNA from 1 species